UACGAAGGGGGCUAGCGUUGCUCGGAAUCACUGGGCGUAAAGCGCACGUAGGCGGAUCCUUAAGUCGGGGGUGAAAUCCUGGAGCUCAACUCCAGAACUGCCUUCGAUACUGAGGAUCUCGAGUCCGGGAGAGGUGAGUGGAACUGCGAGUGUAGAGGUGAAAUUCGUAGAUAUCAAGCGGAACACCGGUGGCGAAGGCGGCCUUCUGGACAGUGACUGACGCUGAGACGCGAAAGCGUGGGGAGCAAACAGG
rnacentral:rRNA from 1 species